rnacentral:rRNA from 1 species
UACGUAGGUGACCAGCGUUGUCCGGAUUUACUGGGCGUAAAGAGCGCGCAGGCGGUCGUUCAAGUCGAGUGUGAAAGCCCCCGGCUCAACUGGGGAGGGUCACUCGAUACUGAUCGACUUGAAGGCAGGAGAGGGAAGCGGAAUUCCCGGUGUAGUGGUGAAAUGCGUAGAUAUCGGGAGGAACACCAGUGGCGAAGGCGGCUUCCUGGCCUGUUCUUGACGCUGAGGCGCGAAAGCUAGGGGAGCAAACGGGGAUUAAGAAACCCCGGAUAGUACCCA